UUUAAAGAGAGUUUGAUCCUGGCUCAGGACGAACGCUGGCGGCGUGCCUAAUACAUGCAAGUCGAACGAACGGAGGAAGAGCUUGCUCUUCCAAAGUUAGUGGCGGACGGGUGAGUAACACGUGGGCAACCUGCCUGUAAGUUGGGGAUAACUCCGGGAAACCGGGGCUAAUACCGAAUGAUAAA
rnacentral:rRNA from 2 species